rnacentral:rRNA from 1 species
CUGGCUCAGGACGAACGCUGGCGGCAUGCCUCACACAUGCAAGUCGAACGGGGUAUAGUUUAAAGCUUGCUUUGGCCUAUACCUAGUGGCGGACGGGUGAGUAACGCGUGGGCAACCUACCCUACAGACCGGGAUACCAUCGGGAAACUGAUGUUAAUACCGGAUA